GACACGGUCCAAACUCCUACGGGAGGCAGCAGUGAGGAAUAUUGGUCAAUGGACGAGAGUCUGAACCAGCCAAGUAGCGUGCAGGAUGACGGCCCUAUGGGUUGUAAACUGCUUUUAUAAGGGAAUAAAGUGAGCCUCGUGAGGCUUUUUGCAUGUACCUUAUGAAUAAGGACCGGCUAAUUCCGUGCCAGCAGCCGCGGUAAUACGGAAGGUCCGGGCGUUAUCCGGAUUUAUUGGGUUUAAAGGGAGCGUAGGCCGUUUGGUAAGCGUGUUGUGAAAUGUCGGGGCUCAACCUGGGCAUUGCAGCGCGAACUGCCAGACUUGAGUGCGCAGGAAGUAGGCGGAAUUCGUCGUGUAGCGGUGAAAUGCUUAGAUAUGACGAAGAACUCCGAUUGCGAAGGCAGCCUGCUGUAGCGCAACUGACGCUGAAGCUCGAAAGCGUGGGUAUCGAACAGGAUUAGAUACCCUGGUAGUCCACGCGGUAAACGAUGGAUGCUCGCUGUUUGCGUCUGACGUAAGCGGCCAAGCGAAAGCGUUAAGCAUCCCACCUGGGGAGUACGCCGGCAACGGUGAAACUCAAAGGAAUUGACGGGGGCCCGCACAAGCGGAGGAACAUGUGGUUUAAUUCGAUGAUACGCGAGGAACCUUACCCGGGCUUGAACUGUAGGCGAACGAUUCAGAGAUGAUGAGGCCCUUCGGGGCGCCUAUGGAGGUGCUGCAUGGUUGUCGUCAGCUCGUGCCGUGAGGUGUCGGCUUAAGUGCCAUAACGAGCGCAACCCCUGUUCGUAGUUGCCAUCGGGUGAUGCCGGGCACUCUGCGAAGACUGCCUCCGUAAGGAGUGAGGAAGGUGGGGAUGACGUCAAAUCAGCACGGCCCUUACGUCCGGGGCUACA
rnacentral:rRNA from 1 species